AAAGCGCACGCAGGCGGUUCGAUUAGUCAGAAGUGAAAGCCCCGGGCUCAACCUGGGAACUGCUUUUGAUACUGUCGAGCUUGAAUCACGGAGAGGGUAGUGGAAUUCCGAGUGUAGAGGUGAAAUUCGUAGAUAUUCGGAAGAACACCAGUGGCGAAGGCGACUACCUGGCCGUCGAUUGACGCUCAUGUGCGAAAGCGUGGGGAGCAAACAGGAUUAGAUACCCUUGU
rnacentral:rRNA from 1 species